rnacentral:rRNA from 1 species
CAGUCGCCACGGUAAUACGUAGGGUGCAAGCGUUAAUCGGAAUUACUGGGCGUAAAGCGUGCGCAGGCGGUUAUAUAAGACAGAUGUGAAAUCCCCGGGCUCAACCUGGGAACUGCAUUUGUGACUGUAUAGCUAGAGUACGGCAGAGGGGGAUGGAAUUCCGCGUGUAGCAGUGAAAUGCGUAGAUAUGCGGAGGAACACCGAUGGCGAAGGCAAUCCCCUGGGCCUGUACUGACGCUCAUGCACGAAAGCGUGGGGAGCAAACAGGAUUAGAUACCCCGGUAGUCCCUGUCUCUUAUAC